rnacentral:tRNA from 1 species
GUUUAGAUAGCUUAAUAUUAAAGCAUGGCACUGAAAAUGCCAAGAUGGGCCCUAAAAAGCCCUCCUAACA